rnacentral:rRNA from 1 species
GACGAACGCUGGCGGCGUGCUUAACACAUGCAAGUCGAACGAAGAGCGAUGGAAGCUUGCUUCUAUCAAUCUUAGUGGCGAACGGGUGAGUAACGCGUAAUCAACCUGCCCUUCAGAGGGGGACAACAGUUGGAAACGACUGCUAAUACCGCAUACGAUCUAAUCUCGGCAUCGAGGAUAGAUGAAAGGUGGCCUCUACAUGUAAGCUAUCACUGAAGGAGGGGAUUGCGUCUGAUUAGCUAGUUGGAGGGGUAACGGCCCACCAAGGCGAUGAUCAGUAGCGGGUCUGAGAGGAUGAGCGGCCACAUUGGGACUGGGACACGGCCCAGACUCCUACGGGAGGCAGCAGUGGGGAAUCUUCCGCAAUGGACGAAAGUCUGACGGAGCAACGCCGCGUGAGUGAUGACGGCCUUCGGGUUGUAAAGCUCUGUUAAUCGGGACGAAAGGCCUUCUUGCGAAUAGUGAGAAGGAUUGACGGUACCGGAAUAGAAAGCCACGGCUAACUACGUG